CUGGCGGCGUGCCUAACACAUGCAAGUCGAACGAGAAUCUACUAUGAAAUUUCGGAUGGAUUAGGUAGAGGAAAGUGGCGAACGGGUGAGUAACGCGUGAGCAAUCUGCCUUGUACUGGGGGAUAACGUCGGGAAACCGGCGCUAAUACCGCAUAAUACUAUGAGAUCGCAUGGUCAUAUAGUCAAAACUCCGGUGGUACAAGAUGAGCUCGCGUCCAAUUAGCUAGUUGGUGGGGUAAUGGCCCACCAAGGCGACGAUUGGUAGCCGAACUGAGAGGUUGAUCGGCCACAUUGGGACUGAGACACGGCCCAGACUCCUACGGGAGGCAGCAGUGGGGAAUAUUGCGCAAUGGAGGGAACUCCUGACGCAGCAACGCCGCGUGAAGGAUGAAGGUUUUCGGAUUGUAAACUUCUUUGAUCGGGGACGAAAUUGACGGUACCUAAUGAGAAAGCCACGGCUAACUACGUGCCAGCAGCAGC
rnacentral:rRNA from 1 species